ensembl:tRNA Mitochondrial valine tRNA (tRNA-Val); predicted by tRNAscan-SE analysis
AGGAGAUUAGCUUAAUUGGUAUAGCAUUCGUUUUACACACGAAAGAUUAUAGGUUCGAACCCUAUAUUUCCUAAAU